rnacentral:rRNA from 1 species
GUCUACGGCCAUACCACCCUGAACGCGCCCGAUCUCGUCUGAUCUCGGAAGCUAAGCAGGGUCGGGCCUGGUUAGUACUUGGAUGGGAGGAAUUCAACAAACAUGUUGCUAAAUU